AUUGAACGCUGGCGGCAGGCCUAACACAUGCAAGUCGAGCGAGAGGCGGACGGGUGAGUAAUGUAUGGGGACUGCCCGAUAGAGGGGGAUAACUACUGGAAACGGUGGCUAAUACCGCAUACUAUGGGUUAACCCAUAUGGGAUUAGCUAGUUGGUGGGGUAAAGGCUCACCUAGGCGACGAUCUCUAGCUGGUCUGAGAGGAUGAUCAGCCACCCUGGGACUGAGAACAGGCCCGGACUACUACGGAGGCAGCGGUGGGGAAUAUUGCACAAUGGGCUCAAGCCUGAUGCAGCCAUGCCGCGUGUAUGAAGAAAGCCUUAGGGUUGUAAAGUACUUUCAGCGGGGAGGCGUUACCCUCAGAAGAAGCACCGGCUAACUCCGUGCCAGCAGCCGCGGUAAUAC
rnacentral:rRNA from 1 species